GAUGAACGCUGGCGGCGUGCCUAAUACAUGCAAGUCGAGCGAACGGACGAGAAGCUUGCUUCUCUGAUGUUAGCGGCGGACGGGUGAGUAACACGUGGAUAACCUACCUAUAAGACUGGGAUAACUUCGGGAAACCGUAGCUAAUACCGGAUAAUAUUUUGAACCGCAUGGUUCAAAAGUGAAAGACGGUCUUGCUGUCACUUAUAGAUGGAUCCGCGCUGCAUUAGCUAGUUGGUAAGGUAACGGCUUACCAAGGCAACGAUGCAUAGCCGACCUGAGAGGGUGAUCGGCCACACUGGAACUGAGACACGGUCCAGACGCCUACGGGAGGCAGCAGUAGGGAAUCUUCCGCAAUGGGCGAAAGCCUGACGGAGCAACGCCGCGUGAGUGAUGAAGGUCUUCGGAUCGUAAAACUCUGUUAUUAGGGAAGAACAGAUGUGUAAGUAACUGUGCACAUCUUGACGGUACCUAAUCAGAAAGCCACGGCUAACUACGUG
rnacentral:rRNA from 1 species